rnacentral:sRNA from 1 species
UAUAUCGGGUGGAUAGGAGAAGCCUCCCUGCGCGAAAAGGUUCCUGUUCAGGGUUCUUUCCUGUUCCUGUUAUUAAAAUUAGUAGAAAAUGUUAAGCAACCAUUUCAAACAAAAAUGUGCAGACAUGCUUUCGGGUACAAUAUUCUUGCUGCAUAGUCUCCAGUCUGUCGUAGGUGGUUCUCCUCUUGAGGCUAUAGCAUUGCAGUUCGCAUCCAAUCCUCUGAAGAAGUGGCUUUCGAUGUUAUCCGCAUAAGUUAGAGCCGAUAUUUUAGUAUUAUCCAUUUCUUAACAUUCUAAAACACUUUUGACUUAAAUUAAGUUCUGUAACUUAUGAUUGUAUGAUUGUCUCAAGUAUGAUUGAGAAGCUGUUUAUUCCCUUUUCUUGAGCAUAGCAAGAAUUGUGGUCUACCAGAAGCCGGAGAAGGUGUAGUCAUAGUCGGAGUUCUUCUCCUUCUCUAUAGGCGGGCAAAUGUGAGUAGAUGAUCUGUGGAUAUAGGAAACUGAAGCAAAAACGGAAUUCAUAAUAAAAUUAAAUAUGAAACAAUA